AGGGGGCAAGCGUUAUCCGGAUUUACUGGGUGUAAAGGGAGCGCAGGUGGCACGGCAAGCCAGAAGUGAAAACCCGGGGCUCAACCCCGCGGAGUGCUUUUGGAACUGCCGUGCUGGAGUGCAGGAGGGGCAGGCGGAAUUCCUGGUGUAGCGGUGAAAUGCGUAGAUAUCAGGAGGAACACCGGUGGCGAAGGCGGCCUGCUGGACUGUAACUGACACUGAGGCUCGAAAGCGUGGGGAGCAA
rnacentral:rRNA from 1 species